rnacentral:tRNA from 44 species
UGGGGAGUCGCCAAGUGGUAAGGCAUCGGAUUUUGAUUCCGACAUUCGUAGGUUCGAUCCCUACCUCCCCAGCCA